CAGAGAAUUACGAGCGAAAAGCUUAAAACUCAAAGGACUUGGCGGUGUCCCACUACAACCUAGAGGAGCCUGUCCUAUAACCCGAUACUACACGUUCUACCCGACCACCUGUUGCAAAUCCCACUCAGCCUAUAUACCGCCGUCGUCAGUCCACCUUAUGAAAGCUAAUCAGUGGACAAAAAAGUCACCCCCACUAACACGUCAGGUCGAGGUGUAGCUAACCAGGUGGCAGUGAUGGGCUACAUUUUCUCAAUAUGACCACACGGACAGCAAGAUGAAAUACCUGCCAGAAGGCGGAUUUAGUAGUAAACUAAACAAGUUUGUUUAUUUUAACCCUGCUCUGGGACGCGCACACACCGC
rnacentral:rRNA from 1 species